CAUCUUUUUCUUUGUCUGCCUUCUUCUUCCUCCUUUACACGUAUGAGAACUUUCUCAUCAAGCUUCUUGACUUUUCAUUCUUCAGUCCAAGAACAAAGCAAAAACUCAUUUCUCAUUCUUUCUCCUUUAUGCGUGGCAAAACCUUGUUAAUUUGAAAUGCCAAAUGUCCAAUUUAUUUAUCAAUUUCAUGACUCACCAUGUCAAGAAAGCUUAUAAAUAGCCAUUAAAGUUUCUGUCAUCUUCAAGCUUACAAAUCCAACUCAAAUUUGAGUAAUCAAAUUAAAAACACCAUUGUUAAAGGUUGGAACUUUUUACCCCAUUAAUUUUGACCACCAUUUUUCUCUCUCCUCCGUUGACCACCGCGGCACCACCCCUUGACCGCCGCCGCUGCCACCACCAUAUUCCAGCAACUCCUUCCUUCGUUGCCCAGAACCAAGACCCGGCGUCACUGCCCGUCGUCGGCGUCCACCGUUAUUUCCUUUCUACUGCUUAUGUUUCUUUUUUUCUUUUUUUUUGUCCAAAGCCCAAAAAGAUUAAAGGGGAUUGUUAUUUAGUGGGUUAUGAUUGGGUAAUUAUGGAGCAAUUAUUAUGGGUUUUGGUGAGUGGGCCGCAAGCUUCAAGGAAAAAUGCAGCAUGGUUUUGAGAUUUUCCAGUUGUUGGAGUUCAACUACGAUGAUUCGGGAUUAUGGGUUUGAAAGCAAGAAUUCGACAUUAAGUUAAGCAUUCGGAUUUUUACGACCGAGGUUCAAUUAAGGAGCUCAAGUUGCUCAAACGAGAGUUAUUACUGGAGUUGGUUAUUUAUUAUGGAGAUAUCGAGAUGAGAGAUUAUUUAUUAUGGAAAUCCUGUUAUUGAGGUUGUUAUAAGAAUAUUGAUUUAUAUUUUAUGGGAAAAUUGUAUUUUUUUUUUUUAUGGAAUGUUUUUAAGGAUUAUUUUAUUUGUGGGCCCAUACCCACAGGUC